CCUGAUGCAGCGACGCCGCGUGAGGGAUGACGGCCUUCGGGUUGUAAACCUCUUUCAGCAGGGACGAAGCGCAAGUGACGGUACCUGCAGAAGAAGCACCGGCCAACUACGUGCCAGCAGCCGCGGUAAGACGUAGGGUGCGAGCGUUGUCCGGAUUUAUUGGGCGUAAAGAGCUCGUAGGCGGCUUGUCGCGUCGACCGUGAAAACUUGGGGCUCAACCCCAAGCCUGCGGUCGAUACGGGCAGGCUAGAGUUCGGUAGGGGAGACUGGAAUUCCUGGUGUAGCGGUGAAAUGCGCAGAUAUCAGGAGGAACACCGGUGGCGAAGGCGGGUCUCUGGGCCGAUACUGACGCUGAGGAGCGAAAGCGUGGGGAGCGAACAGGAUUAGAUACCCUGGUAGUCCACGCUGUAAACGUUGGGCGCUAGGUGUGGGGGGCCUCUCCGGUUCCCUGUGCCGCAGCUAACGCAUUAAGCGCCCCGCCUGGGGAGUACGGCCGCAAGGCUAAAACUCAAAGGAAUUGACGGGGGCCCGCACAAGCGGCGGAGCAUGCGGAUUAAUUCGAUGCAACGCGAAGAACCUUACCUGGGUUUGACAUGGCCGCAAAACUUCCAGAGAUGGGAGGUCCUUCG
rnacentral:rRNA from 1 species